rnacentral:rRNA from 1 species
UACGAAGGGGGCUAGCGUUGUUCGGAAUUACUGGGCGUAAAGCGUGCGCAGGCGGCUUCUCAAGUCAGGGGUGAAAGCCCAGAGCCCAACUCUGGAAUUGCCUUUGAGACUGAGUGGCUUGAGUACGAGAGAGGUGAGUGGAAUUCCCAGUGUAGAGGUGAAAUUCGUAGAUAUUGGGAAGAACACCGGUGGCGAAGGCGGCUCACUGGCUCGUAACUGACGCUCAUGCACGACAGCGUGGGGAUCAAACAGG